GUAGUUAGCCGGGGCUUCCUCCUCAAGUACCGUCACUUCCUUCGUCCUUGAGGACAAAAGUUUACAAUCCGAAAACCUUCUUCCUUCACGCGGCGUUGCUGGGUCAGGCUUUCGCCCAUUGCCCAAUAUUCCCCACUGCUGCCUCCCGUAGGAGUCUGGACCGUCUCUCAGUUCCAGUGUGGCCGAUCACCCUCUCAGGUCGGCUACCCAUCGUUGCCUUGGUGGGCCUUUACCUCACCAACUAGCUAAUGGGACGCGAACUCACCCCAAACCGGAUCGCUCCUUUUACCUCAACCCCAUGCGAGGUCGUGGUCUUAUGCGGUAUUAGCAGCCGUUUCCAGCUGUUGUCCCCCUCUUGAAGGCAGGUCGCUCACGCGUUACUCACCCGUCCGCCACUAAGCUUCACCUCGUAUUGCUACUCGGUUGGCUCCGUUCGACUUGCAUGUGUUAAGCACGCCGCCAGCGUUCGUCCUGAGCCAUGAUCAAACUCUGA
rnacentral:rRNA from 1 species